ensembl:snRNA U6 U6 spliceosomal RNA
GUAGGUCCAGCACAGCACAUAUACUAAAAUUGGAAUGAUACAGAGAAAAUUAGCAUGGCCCCUGUGCAAGGAUGACACAAGUUCGUGACGCGUUCCAUAAUUUU